AGUCGACGAUGAAUCUUCUAGCUUGCUAGAAGUGGAUUAGUGGCGCACGGGUGAGUAAUGCAUAGGUUAUGUGCCCUUUAGUCUGGGAUAGCCACUGGAAACGGUGAUUAAUACUGGAUACUCCCUACGGGGGAAAGUUUUUCGCUAAAGGAUCAGCCUAUGUCCUAUCAGCUUGUUGGUGAGGUAAUGGCUCACCAAGGCUAUGACGGGUAUCCGGCCUGAGAGGGUGAUCGGACACACUGGAACUGAGACACGGUCCAGACUCCUACGGGAGGCAGCAGUAGGGAAUAUUGCUCAAUGGGGGAAACCCUGAAGCAGCAACGCCGCGUGGAGGAUGAAGGUUUUAGGAUUGUAAACUCCUUUUGUUAGAGAAGAUUAUGACGGUAUCUAACGAAUAAGCACCGGCUAACUCCGUGCCAGCAGCCGCGGUAAUACGGAGGGUGCAAGCGUUACUCGGAAUCACUGGGCGUAAAGAGUGCGUAGGCGGGGUAAUAAGUCAGAUGUGAAAUCCUGUAGCUUAACUACAGAACUGCAUUUGAAACUGUUACUCUGGAGUGUGGGAGAGGUAGGUGGAAUUCUUGGUGUAGGGGUAAAAUCCGUAGAGAUCAAGAGGAAUACUCAUUGCGAAGGCGACCUGCUGGAACAUUACUGACGCUGAUGCACGAAAGCGUGGGGAGCAAACAGGAUUAGAUACCCUGGUAGUCCACGCCCUAAACGAUGGAUGCUAGUUGUUGCCUUGCUUGUCAGGGCAGUAAUGCAGCUAACGCAUUAAGCAUCCCGCCUGGGGAGUACGGUCGCAAGAUUAAAACUCAAAGGAAUAGACGGGGACCCGCACAAGCGGUGGAGCAUGUGGUUUAAUUCGAAGAUACGCGAAGAACCUUACCUAGGCUUGACA
rnacentral:rRNA from 1 species